rnacentral:rRNA from 1 species
UACGGAGGGUGCGAGCGUUGUCCGGAAUCAUUGGGCGUAAAGGGCGCGUAGGUGGCGGGACAAGCGUGCGGUGAAAGCCUGGGGCUCAACCCCGGGUCGGCCGUGCGAACUGUUUUGCUUGAGCACUGUAGAGGCAGGCGGAAUUCCGGGUGUAGCGGUGGAAUGCGUAGAGAUCCGGAAGAACACCGGUGGCGAAGGCGGCCUGCUGGGCAGUAGCUGACACUGAGGCGCGACAGCGUGGGGAGCAAACCGG